rnacentral:lncRNA from 1 species
AGUCCUCACACUGCUCUUCCUCAAAGGAGACGUCUGGAGCACUGGAGAGAGAGGAAGAGGGAUAGAGAGAGAAACACACCUCCAUCCCAUCUUUCCCUCUUUUUUCAUCUGCCUGCCCCUCCGUUAUAUUAGUCCCUCCCUCACCUCACCACCUUGCCUGCUCAGAGCUGCCGGGAGAUGGGUUGUGGGAAUUCCACGGCGACCAGCGCUGCAGGAGGAGGAGGUCCAGCUGAGGAUUCAAAGGAUGUCACAGAAGAGGGCUCCCCCGAUGAGGAGAAAAGGAGGAACUACGGGGGCGUGUAUGUAGGUCUGCCAGCUGAUCUUAGCAAUGUGAACGCAGGAC